rnacentral:rRNA from 1 species
GACAGAGGGUGCAAACGUUGUUCGGAAUUACUGGGCGUAAAGCGUGUGUAGGCGGUCCGCUAAGUCGGGUGUGAAAUCCCUGGGCUCAACCCAGGAAGUGCACUCGAAACUGGCGGGCUAGAGUAUCGGAGAGGUUGGUGGAAUUCUCGGUGUAGAGGUGAAAUUCGUAGAUAUCGAGAGGAACACCGGUGGCGAAGGCGGCCAACUGGACGAAUACUGACGCUGAGGUGCGAAAGCGUGGGGAGCAAACAGG